AUGAGCUGGCCUCUUCUUCUGAUAUCCUCUGUGUCCUAUGUGCAUGGCAUCAGUCUGACCUCGUCUCCUGCUGAGGUUAAACCUCCCGGAGCCUCAGUGAAGUUGUCCUGUCAGAUUUCUGGCUAUGCCCUCACUAGCUACGGCACAGGCUGGAUCAGGCAGCCUCCAGGAAAAGGCUUGGAGUGGAUCGGGAUCAUAUGGAGUGGUGGAAGCAUAGACUCUGGAGCUUCCUUUAAAACUCGCUUCAGCAUCUCCAGAGACACGAGCAACAAUGUGCUCUUAGAUAUCAGCAGCCUGGUGCCAGAAGACACGGCUGUUUAUUAUUGUGCAAGACACACACACAGCUGUACACCUCAGUGA